UUUUUGUCUGAGGCAACCUUGGGGUGUGGAGCAGGGGAACAGCCACCAUUUUGUGGCACGGCCGCCAUUUUGUGUCUGGGGAAACCAAGGGGAGUGGAGCGGGGGAACAGCCACCAUUUUGUGGCAUGGCCGCCAUUUUGUGGAACGGCCGCCAUUUUAUGUCUGGGGAAACCAAGGGAAAUGGAAUGGGGGAAUGGCUGCCAGUUUUGUUUGUCUGGGGGAACCAAGGGACGUGGAGUGGGGGAAUGGCCACCAUUUUAUGUCAGGGGAAACCAAGGGGAAUUGAGUGCGGGAAUGGCAGCCAUUUUUUGUUUGUCUGGGGAAACCACGGGGUGUGGAGCUGGUGAAGCGGCUGCCAUUUUGUGUUGGGGAAACCACAGGGUGUGGAGUGGGGGAUCAGCCGCCAUUUUGUAUUGGGGAAAACCAAGGGGAGUGCAGCUGGGGAACGGCUGCCAUUUUCUGUCUGGGAAAACUACAGAACUUGGAGUGGGGGAACAGCUGCCAUUUUGUUUGUCUGGGGAAACCAUGGGGUGUGGAGUGGGGGAACAGCCGCCAUUUUGUGGAACGGCUGCCAUUUUGUUUCUGCGGAAACCAUAGAGCGAGGGACUUGGCAGAGACUUGAGGGGCUUUUGAGGGGGAUGGAGGGAGUUAAAAGUCAGGUUUGGUGGAUCCCUUUCCUCCUGUCUCCAGCUCCCAGAGCUGUCCAUAUUUCCUCCUCACAUGCCAUCCAUCACUCUGGUCCCAGUGCACCUCCUUCAUGGUUUCUGAUGCAAAGGUGGAACUGCUGGACUUGAUGUUGGCACACCGGAGACUCUUGAUCUGAGCUUCUCUCAGUUUGAAAAGCUGCUCUCCUGUGCCCGCCUGGCACACAGGGAGCCCCCUUCCAGAAUAUACCACCUCAGCCUCAGGUGUUGGCACAGCCUGAAUCCUCAUCUCCACUUCAUGGACUCCUCGUUAAUCUCUAAGGUUGGAAAAAAAGUUUCUGAAGUUUAUUAAAAAACUCUCUGAAUUAAUUCUGCCUCUGUGUGGUCAGCCUGUGAGUCUGGAGCACACCUGAACCAAGGAGCAAAUUAAGGUUAAGUGCAGUUUGCCUGAGAAGUCAUAACUACCAUACCUGGGUGCAGCAAAGUGUGGAAGCUCUCGAAACCCAAACUCAUUAUUGAGAGAAUACAAUUGUGAAGGUCUUUCAGGAAAAGGAAGGUUGCUGUGGGAGAUGCAGUCCCCUUCACCCCACUGGUGGCUUUGCCAUGACUUACCAGCACAGGAGAAUUAAUACCCAGACAGUGCUCAGCUUCAUUAUGUGCCUCAGUGGAAGCAGACAGCACAGAGGAUCGUGUUAUCCCUCUGCUCCCAUUUCUGCCUGCAAACAGUUUUGGACUCCUGUGAAAAAAGUUGAGUUUUACAGUGUUCUGAGUUAUAUUUCCCUUCCAUUUAAAAAGAAGAACCUUGCAAAUGUGAUUCUGGCUGGGGAUUAUUAUCUCUGUGUGUUGAUAAUUCUCGAAUAAUGAUGCGUAUGGGGAGUUCUGAUGAAGGGUGUGGAGGAAGAUGAUUGAAGGCACUUGCAGAUGGAAGUCACAGAUUCCUCUUGGAUGGUGACAGUUUCCAAGCUCUGUAUGGCAGAUUUUUCUCUGGCCUAAUAUGUAGUUUAUCAUAUUUCUCUCACUUUCUAUGACUGAUUUAUCGUUGCUUUGAGUUCCUUUUCGGAGAGUGCUCCCAGCA